CCUACGGGAGGCAGCAGUGAGGAAUAUUGGUCAAUGGGAGAGAUCCUGAACCAGCCAAGUCGCGUGAGGGAUGACGGCCCUAUGGGUUGUCAACUUCUUUUGUCGGAGAAUAAAACCCGUGACGUGUCCCGGUCUGCGUGUAUCCGAUGAAAAAGCAUCGGCUAACUCCGUGCGAGCAGCCGCGGUAAUACGGAGGAGGCGAGCGUUAUCCGGCUUUAUUGGGUUUAAAGGGUGCGUAGGCGGUCCGUUAAGUCAGCGGUAAAAUUGCGGGGCUCAACCCCGUCGAGCCGUUGCAACUGGCAGACUUGAGUUGGCGAGAAGCACGCGGAAUGCGCGGUGUAGCGGUGAAAUGCUUAGAUAUCGCGAAGAACUCCGAUUGCGAAGGCAGCGUACCGCCGCCAGACUGACGCUGAGGCACGAAAGCGUGGGGAUCGAACAGGAUUAGAUACCCGUGUAGUC
rnacentral:rRNA from 1 species